rnacentral:sRNA from 1 species
UAAGUCAUUUGUGCGAAAUAUAAACAUGU